ACAGUGGGGAAUUUUGGACAAUGGGGGCUACCCUGAUCCAGCCAUGCCGCGUGAGUGAAGAAGGCCUUCGGGUUGUAAAGCUCUUUCGGCCGGGAAGAAAUCGCAUUGGUUAAUACCCAGUGUGGAUGACGGUACCGGAAUAAGAAGCACCGGCUAACUACGUGCCAGCAGCCGCGGUAAUACGUAGGGUGCGAGCGUUAAUCGGAAUUACUGGGCGUAAAGCGUGCGCAGGCGGUUUUGUAAGACAGGCGUGAAAUCCCCGGGCUCAACCUGGGAACUGCGUUUGUGACUGCAAGGCUAGAGUAUGGCAGAGGGGGGUGGAAUUCCACGUGUAGCAGUGAAAUGCGUAGAGAUGUGGAGGAACACCGAUGGCGAAGGCAGCCCCCUGGGCCAAUACUGACGCUCAUGCACGAAAGCGUGGGUAGCAAACAGGAUUAGAUACCCUGGUAGUCCACGCCCUAAACGAUGUCAACUAGGUGUUGGGUGGUAAACCAUUUAGUACCGGAGCUAACGCGUGAAGUUGACCGCCUGGNGAGUACGGCCGCAAGGUUAAAACUCAAGG
rnacentral:rRNA from 1 species